rnacentral:rRNA from 1 species
UACGUAGGGUGCGAGCGUUAAUCGGAAUUACUGGGCGUAAAGGGUGCGCAGGCGGCCGCGCAAGUCGAGUGUGAAAGCCCCGAGCUUAACUUGGGAAUUGCGCUCGAAACUACGUGGCUGGAGUGUGGCAGAGGAAGGUGGAAUUCCACGUGUAGCGGUGAAAUGCGUAGAGAUGUGGAGGAACACCGAUGGCGAAGGCAGCCUUCUGGGCCAACACUGACGCUCAUGCACGAAAGCGUGGGGAGCAAACAGG